rnacentral:rRNA from 1 species
GACGAACGCUGGCGGCGUGCCUAAUACAUGCAAGUAGAACGCACAGUUUAUACCGUAGCUUGCUACACCAUAAACUGUGAGUUGCGAACGGGUGAGUAACGCGUAGGUAACCUGCCUGGUAGCGGGGGAUAACUAUUGGAAACGAUAGCUAAUACCGCAUAAUAUUGAUUAUUGCAUGAUAAUUGAUUGAAAGAUGCUAUUGCAUCACUACCAGAUGGACCUGCGUUGUAUUAGCUAGUAGGUGAGGUAACGGCUCACCUAGGCGACGAUACAUAGCCGAACUUCGGGGGUGUUCGGCCACUCUGGGACUGAGACACGGCCCAGACUCCUACGGGAGGCAGCAGUAGGGGAUCUUCGGCAAUGGACGAAAGUCUGACCCAGCAACGCCGCGUGAGUGAAGAAGGUUUUCGGAUCGUAAAGCUCUGUUGUUAGGUAAGAACGGGUGUGAGAGUGGAAAGUUCACACUGUGACGGUAUCUUACCAGAAAGGGACGGCUAACUACGUG